UGUCUCCCAUGUCUAUUGUACUUCAUCAGGUGCUCUGGUGUGGCCCGCAACCCGGCACAUGUUGAAGUACACUCAAUAUGAGGCGAUU
rnacentral:pre_miRNA from 13 species